rnacentral:rRNA from 1 species
CGUAUAUUAAAGUUGUUGCAGUUAAAAAGCUCGUAGUUGGAUUUGUGGUUUGUGGUGUGUUCCGGGCACUCGUGUCCGAGUAACUCGCCGCUGCCAUCCUUGGGUGGAACCUGUGUGGCAUUAGGUUGUCGGGCAGGGGAUGCCCAUCUUUUACUGUGAAAAAAUUAGAGUGUUCAAAGCAGGCUUAUGCCGUUGAAUAUAUUAGCAUGGAAUAAUGAGAUAGGACUUUUUGGCUAUUUUGUUGGUUUGCGCCAAGAGGUAAUGAUUAAUAGGGACAGUUGGGGG